rnacentral:rRNA from 1 species
AGGGAAUCUUCCACAAUGGACGCAAGUCUGAUGGAGCAACGCCGCGUGAGUGAAGAAGGUUUUCGGACCGUAAAGCUCUGUUGUUGGUGAAGAAGGAUAGAGGUAGUAACUGGCCUUUAUUUGACGGUAAUCAACCAGAAAGUCACGGCUAACUACGUGCCAGCAGCCGCGGUAAAUACGUAGGUGGCAAGCGUUGUCCGGAUUUAUUGGGCGUAAAGCGAGCGCAGGCGGAAGAAUAAGUCUGAUGUGAAAGCCCUCGGCUUAACCGAGGAAUUGCAUCGG